GAGUGACGCCUGAAGCUGAAGCAAUUAACACAAUGUUACACGACCGAAAGCUGAGGCAAGGGGCCAGUGUGGAGCCAUGGGAGGCUGUCAUCACUCAAUAUUAAUUGAUCCUACUUUUCAUCCAUAAAGCAGGGGCUGAAACAAAUUUUUGGUCACAAAAAUGGCAACUAUUACACUAUUAAGUCUCUAGAUUGGCAAGAAACAGUGGUAAGAAAAGAAACAGUUGGAUCACCAGUCUGAGGGAUAUGGAAGGCAAUCCAGAAAAACCUCAACAUCCUUCUCCCCAUUCCUUGCACACCUUUACAGCAUUAUUCCAGCCUGGGCUAUUAGAAACAGCAUCAGUAACUUUUCUUUCACACACUUCAUCUCGACCAUUUCUCACCAAGCAAGCCAUGAUGGACUGAAGACCGGUGAGCCCAUGCUCAGGGCAUCUUUGAUGCAUCUAUUAAGGCCUUAAAAGUUCAGCCUGUUGGCAUCAGCAGCCCUGAUGAGUCCACUCACCCCCAGGAAGCUCGUUUGAUUGAGGUACCUUUUCCAAGCUGCAGUUUGGUUGGUGGGUCCAAAGAUUAGAUUUGGUUUAGGAUUUCCAGGGCCCCCUGCACCUACCAAACAGCAGACAAGUCUCUAGCCAUGCAAGGUGCAGCAGGCCAAAGGCAAAUAAUGGUAAAUCAUGGCAGAUGCUUCUCCAAGAUAACACACAGACUCUAUUAGGGCUAUACCCAAGCUGGCCUGGUUUCCAGAUAUAGGAGAACAGACACCAGACUAGGACAUUAAAAACUCCAGAAUUUGGUGGGAUGUUUCAGACGCUGUUUCCUACAUUGAGAGACCUUACUAUCUUGUUCACCAUUGCAUGCUCAAUACAGAGCCUGAAAAAGAGUAGAUAAUCAAUAAAUAUUGAAUGGAUCAAUUUUGUUAAGUAACUUUGCCAGACAAGACUGCUUUCUCCAAAAAGAAAAGUCCACCCACAAGCUUGCCAGCUCCCUUGGGAAUAUAUUAUUAUACCUAUCUUGUGUCAAAGCAACAUGCAUUCCUUAUAGUGCCAUGUUGUACUCAUGCUUACAAACUAAUUCUGAGCUUACACUAGGGAUGCCCAAGUGAAAUAAUCCCUUCCCUCUUUUAAGAGGGCCCAAUGAGGCUGUCAAACUAAUGUGUACUCCUCCUGAUAAAUCAUGUGUAUGUACCUGCAAAGUAUGUUUAUGCAACAGAAUAGAAAAACAUCUCAGUGGCUGCUAAGUGUAGCAGGUACUCCUUGCCCAUGUAAUUUUUACUUAUCAGGAGCCCUGACCUGUAAACAAAGAAGAGUAUGCCUGAAACACAGAACUGAGGAAAUGACCUUCUAGACUUAAUGACAGUGGCAUGCAACUUGAGGCCAGAAUCACCUACCUUUUCACACCAGAUUUGCUUUUGAAAAUAUUUCGUAGAUAAAAUUCAACAGGACUCCUGUCUUCUGAAGCAUUGGUGAAAUAUGGUCAAACUAUAAAAUGACAGUGGACCCAGUGAAAUUAGAGAAAGCUUAAAAUUCUUUAACGCAAUAUUGCUAAUAAUAAUUAGUAGGGUGCA
rnacentral:lncRNA from 1 species